GCCAUGUUUCAUAAUCAAAAAACGCAGACACACCUGAAGCAUUUCCUUUUCCGAGGUGAAUGUGUGCAUUUGGUUCAGAAAUUCCCCUCCAGGUUCGCCCCUGCUUUUCCCAGGCGAGGUCUCUGGAUCAGCCCAAGCUCACUCUGGACACGCGCCGUCUCCUGGCUGCCGACUGCCCCCCGGCCUGACUCCAAGCUGCUCUCAGGCUCCCGAAGCAGAACGACCCUAAGACAAGAAAAAUGCUGAAUGCCGCUGUCAGAAGGCGUGUUUUCCCUCCCCCGUGCUGGCUAGCCCCAGGCAGAAUUUGGAGGGCUCUUCUCCUUUCGCCCUGCUCCAGAAGGAGCCCGCAAAAACGUUCUUGCUGGCUCCCUGCUUCAGCCUUGUCCUCACCCUGUUGCAGCCAGAGUGGUUGUUCCCCGUCCCUCCCGUGCCUCGGUCCUUCAGCGGCUCCCAAUGACCUCAGGAUAAGACUAGCGCGGAGUUCAAAGCCUUCCACCAUCCGGCCUGAGCUGGUUCACCUCCUGGUCGCACUUUUUCCUCUUACUUGGCCAGGCCGCAACCUCGCGGCCCGCCCUCCUGCCAGGCUCCAGGCUCCUGCCCUCGUUUCCGCGGUCUCCACUGCCCUCCCCUCUGCGAGACGAUAGCUGUUCCCUGGGUACCAUGGGCGCGGUGGCGCGCAUCCUUGCAGGCACCCCUCUGGGGCUCGGGGCUGGGUCGGGGGCCGGUGCUUCCCGAGGCGACCGGCCAGGGGGCGGUGCGAGCGGCUCCCGGUGACAGCGGGGGCGCGAGGGGGGGAGGAGGAGGGACGCAGGCAGCGCGGAGCGCGGCUCUCCCGGCCUCACACUCCGACAGAGCCUCGCGCGCCCGAGCCGCUGGCCGCCCGCGCAGCCCGACGCGGAACCGGGCGCAGGGACAGACCGGUGCAGGACGGCGCGGGGCGCGGCGGCGGCGGCCGUCCAUGCGGCGGGCUCGGGGCUGCCCGGGCACGGGAAGCACGCGGGCGAGGCGAGGGGGCCGCCGGCCGCUCCGGGAAGCGGACCGCCACGGUGAGCAGCGCAGGCCCGCCCCCAGCGCCCCGCGUCCCCCCCGUC
rnacentral:lncRNA from 1 species